GCAAACAUCAACCAGCAAGCAAGCAAGCAGUCAGGCAACCAAAAGCAUGAUAUUUCACUCUUUAGGUGACGCGACUCGCAAACGAAGCGAAAACGGCGCGCAGUGUACAAGUGACGGGCAAUAGCGAGGGUAGAAGCAGAAGCAAAAAACAAUACGUAUUGUACAAGAGCUCUCGAAUGCGGAGCUCGAAAGCGCGAAAAAAGCAAACGUAGCGCUCAGACGUGCUCAACAACGCGGCGGCGGUGUAUGCCAGCGAUUUCGGUGUGGAACACCAAAUCUCGGUACUCGGAUUCGACAGUUUUGUUUUUUGUCAAAAUUAGUUUCGUUUGUUUUUUUCUAAAAUCUAAUCGGUGAUCGUUGGAAAAUUUCCACCUAAGUGUCUGAAAAGCCGGAAAAAAAAUACCAAAAUAUAUACAUACAUACACAAUAAAAAAAAAAAUAAAUAAAAAAAUUAGACAAAAAUACCAAAUAAAAUUAAAAAGCAGCAGAAAAGCAACAACAAAAAGGAUAUAUUUUAGCUGCUCGUAUACAUCAGAAAAGAAAAAUAACAUUGAAAAAUAAAAGCAACAAAACAACAGCACCAGCAAAAGCAAGAACAGUUAUUGAACAAAAUUCGUAGCAACAAAAGCGUAGAGGCAGCAACUAAAUAGCAGCAACAAUAAGACAUACCUGCAACAGAAACGUAAAAUUUAAGUUACUUAGAACGCCCUUCCAGCAGAAAUUAGCAAUCUGUAUAAAAAAUUCAAGAGUCACAAAAUUUAAACACAAAUACGAAUUAGAGAACAAGCAAAAAGUCGUCAAAAAAAUAACUAAGAAAAUAAGUUAAAAUAAUUAAAUAGCUGCGACUACAACUAAACCAACAAAAACAAAAAGAAAAAAAUUCAAAGACAAACCAAGCAAACAAAGUACUCAGCAAGUGCAAUAUUUGUUAAAAGCAAGCAGAAAUUAUAUAUUUAGUACAUAAUAUUAAAAAAGAAAACAAAAUAAUAAUUAUCUAAGUUUGUUUUUAUAUAUUCUCCUAAGUCUAAGCAAUUCGAGGCAGAAUUGUUAAUUGUUAAAAUGCCAUAAACACAUGUGCAUAUAUUUUUAAACACAA